rnacentral:rRNA from 1 species
AGAGUUUGAUCCUGGCUCAGAUUGAACGCUGGCGGCAUGCCUUACACAUGCAAGUCGAACGGCAGCGGACCUUCGGGUGCCGGCGAGUGGCGAACGGGUGAGUAAUGUAUCGGAACGUACCUUUCAGUGGGGGAUAACGUAGCGAAAGUUACGCUAAUACCGCAUAUUCUGUGAGCAGGAAAGCAGGGGAUCGCAAGACCUUGCGCUGAUUGAGCGGCCGAUAUCAGAUUAGCUAGUUGGUGAGGUAAAGGCUCACCAAGGCGACGAUCUGUAGCGGGUCUGAGAGGAUGAUCCGCCACACUGGAACUGAGACACGGUCCAGACUCCUACGGGAGGCAGCAGUGGGGAAUUUUGGACAAUGGGGGCAACCC